rnacentral:rRNA from 1 species
GUCCUAGCCGUAAACGAUGGACACUGAGUGAAGGAGGGCUUGCCCUUCUUUGCUGCAGCUAACGCGUUAAGUGUCCCGCCUGGGGAGUACGGCCGCAAGGUUAAAACUCAAAGGAAUUGACGGGGGCUCGCACAAGCGGUGGAGCAUGUGGUUCAAUUCGAUGCAACGCGAAGAACCUUACCCGGGCUUGAAGUGGAGGUGGUAGAAACCGGAAACGGUAACGACCCCGCAAGGGGAGCCUACAUCAGGUGUUGCAUGGCUGUCGU